AGCAAAGCGAUGAACGGAAAGAGUAGGAAUUUGGGCAGCGCAAAGAGAGAGACUGUCACCGGCUGAAAGCAGUCUUGCGAAAGAGAAUUCACGAAGUGCCUCCGGGAGCUGAUCAGGGGAAAAGAGGUCUGUGAUGGCAGAACUUAAGUAUUCUGGUUCGGGUUACACACGUUACGUGUCUUAAGGGAAAAUCAAUUGAUUUUUAUUAGAGUGGAACCGCGGAUUAUUUCGUCUCUUGG
rnacentral:ncRNA from 1 species